rnacentral:rRNA from 1 species
AGGAUGAACGCUGGCGGCGUGCCUAAGACAUGCAAGUCGAGUGGGUUUAGACCCACGGCGAACGGGUGAGUAAUACCUAGGAACUUUCUUUAAGUGGAGCAUAAUCAGUCGAAAGAUUGGAUAAUUCUUCAUGUGGCAGUAAUGCUAAAGUCGCAAGACGCUUAAAGUGAGGCCUGGGUACCAUCAGCUAGUUGGUAAGGUAAUGGCUUACCAAGGCUAUGACGGUUAGGGGUCCCGAGAGGGAUAACCCCCCACAUUGGAACUGCGACACGGUCCAGACUCCUACGGGAGGCAGCAGUUUGGAAUUUUGGACAAUGGGCGAAAGCCUGAUCCAGCGACGCCGCGUGGACGAUGAAGGCCUUCGGGUCGUAAAGUCCUUUUGCUCGGGAACAAUAUUUUGAGCGUACCGAGAGAAUAAGAGGUUGCUAACUCUGUGCCAGCAGCCG